UAAAAUGUAAACUCACGGUUUCGGCCCGUGUCAAGGCAUUGUUACGCCCAUUUUGU
rnacentral:tRNA from 1 species